rnacentral:rRNA from 1 species
AGCAUAUUACUAAGCNGAGGAAAAGAAAUUAACAAAGAUUGCCUUAGUAAGGGCGACUGAACCGGCAAGAGCUCAAAAUUGGAAUCGGAGAUUCAACGAAUCUUCGAAUUGUAAUCAGGUCCGCCUAAAUGCGAGUACUUGCUCAAGCUCGUCGAAACGAGCGCCAUAGAGGGUGAAAGCCCCGUGUAGCGUUUACUCGAGUAAGGGGGAUUCCACAAGAGUCGGGUUGCUUGGAACUGCAGCCCUAANCGGGAGAUAUGAAUCUUCCAAAGCUAAAUAUGGAUGGGAGACCGAUAGCGAACAAGUACUGUGAAGGAAAGAUGAAAAGGACUUUGAAAAGAGAGUGAAAAGAUCUGAAAUCGUUGAGAAGGAAGCGGUAGAAACUGAUGGUCGCACUGAUAGGAUAACGCGGUGAACCACUGCGGAGUUCUUACCAAAGCGACGGGCAAAAUGAAGUUAGAUGCGUCAAAAAAGGCUUAGCCGUGUAAGGCGUAUCUAGCUUGAGGGACUAUUGUGAUUUUGCCAAAAUGGUUUUUACUGU